UACGGUAAGUGUGAGCCGUCUGAUCGGCCAUCCUCCGCCGCUGUGCUACUUAGGGGAGUAACCUGCCGCGAGCCCAGACUAACUGACGCGGGGAGGAGAGAAGAGGCGCCGCCAGCCGCUCAGCAUCACCCCGCUGCCCCAUGAAGCCUAUAGAUAUGGCAAAGGAAGGAGCGGAGGUUUCAGAGGAGACGGAGCACAUGAUAGAGAAGAACGGCGGGAAAGAGCCAGAAAGUGUCAUGCCGGGUGGGGACGCGAAGGAGAUGCGCGCCGUCGUGCUGACUGGCUUCGGGGGUCUCAACAAACUCCGGGUGACCAAGAAAGCCAUGCCUGAACCCCAAGAAGGAGAAGUCAAGAUUCGCGUCAAAGCAUGUGGUUUAAACUUCCUAGACUUAAUGGUGAGACAAGGAAACAUUGACAACCCUCCUAAAACUCCUCUCAUCCCUGGAUUUGAAUGUUCUGGAAUUGUGGAAGCAAUGGGAGGGAACACCAAAGGGUUUGAGAUAGGGGACCGUGUAAUGGCCUUUGUGAACUACAACGCCUGGGCAGAAGUGGUGUGCACGCCGUUGGAGUUUGUCUAUAAAAUUCCCGACGAAAUGACUUUUCCUGAGGCAGCUGCCUUCCCCAUGAACUUUGUGGCUGCGUACAUGAUGCUGUUCGAGGUGGCCAAUCUCCACGAAGGGAUGUCUGUAUUGGUUCACUCUGCUGGAGGGGGCGUGGGACAAGCUGUUGCCCAGCUCUGCUCCACCAUACCAAACGUCACAGUUUUUGGAACCGCCUCCCCUUUCAAACAUGAAGCCAUCAAAGACUCGGUGACUCACCUUUUCGACAGAAACGCUGAUUAUGUGCAAGAGGUUAAAAAGAUCUCCCCCGAUGGGGUGGACAUUGUGCUGGACUGCUUGUGCGGAGAGAACACGGGCAAAGGCUUGGGUCUGCUUAAGCCCCUGGGAACAUACAUCCUGUACGGCUCGUCGAAUAUGGUGACGGGCGAGACGAAGAGUUUCUUCAGCUUUGCCAAGUCUUGGUGGCAGGUGGAGAAGGUGAACCCCAUCAAACUUUACGAGGAGAACAAAGUCAUCGCCGGCUUCUCGCUGCUCAAUCUCCUCUUCAAACAAGGCCGGAGUGGCCUCGUGAAGACGGUCGUGCAGAAGCUGUUUUCCCUCUAUGAGCAGAAGAAGGUCAAGCCCGUGGUGGACUCCCUGUGGGCUGUGGAAGAGGAAGAGCUGAGACAGGGGGUGAUCUGCAGGAGAGGCACAAAUCUCAGCCUUCCUCUAGCACAACAUCACUAAUAGAGUCUGAGGUUCAGCACCAAGGAGGGAAGCCGUUGGCUGGUUUCUUCAGAUGCGUUGAAAGUUCAGUGGACCCAACGGUGAAAUAUUAGGACUACCUGUGCAAGAGGUGAAAGAAGCUAUGCAGAGAAUCCAUGACAGAGGCAACAUAGGGAAACUCAUCUUGGAUGUGGAGAAAUCCCCCAUUCCACUGAUGGCCAACGACAGCACAGAGACGAGUGAGGCGGGUGAGGAGGAGGAAGAAC